CUCUGCUCAGGGCCAAUAACAUGAUGAGUGAGAGAGGUGGAGGCGCCUGGGAGGAGGAGAACAGAGCCAGGUAGGAGCAGAGAGCAGCCGGGGAAACCCAUACAACUGCAGAGGUCAGUCCUAGCACAUGUAGUCAGAGAGUCCUGGCCUGGCCUUGUUCAGGCAGAGGUUAAAUCAGGCAUUGCUUACAAAAGCACAUUAAGAGCCAAUAGCUGGAGAAAUGUGGACCAGGAUGCAGUGCCCUGAUAGAGGAGCAUGGCAGAGAAGGGUCUGGAUCUAAGGGUCUUUGACAGUCGUUUCCACAGAUCGCUAAGCCUGAGCCAAUUUGAUGAAUGGAGUUCAGAAAUGGACAUUCGUUAAACAAACAGAUCUCCUAAGUUAAUAAACUUUGUUUAUA
rnacentral:lncRNA from 12 species